rnacentral:tRNA from 1 species
CAAGGAGUAGCUUACACCAUCAAAGCGCUUAACUUACAAUUAAGAAACGUCUUACAACAGACCUCCAUGA